GCUCUCUUCGUAUAGUUUGGUUUAGUACGACUGAUUUGUAAUCAGUAAACGGUAGUUCAAAUCUGUCAGAGAGCUU
rnacentral:tRNA from 1 species